UACGGAGGGUGCAAGCGUUAAUCGGAAUUACUGGGCGUAAAGCGCGCGUAGGCGGUUAUUUAAGUCGGAUGUGAAAGCCCUGGGCUCAACCUGGGAACUGCAUUCGAAACUGGGUAACUAGAGUAUAAGAGAGGAUAGUGGAAUUUCAGGUGUAGCGGUGAAAUGCGUAGAGAUCUGAAGGAACAUCAGUGGCGAAGGCG
rnacentral:rRNA from 1 species